ACAGCAGCCGCCACGGUAAAACGUAGGGUGCAAGCGUUAAUCGGAUUUACUGGGCGUAAAGCGUGCGUAGGCGGCUUCUUAAGUCGGAUGUGAAAUCCCUGAGCUUAACUUAGGAAUUGCAUUCGAUACUGGGAAGCUAGAGUAUGGGAGAGGAUGGUAGAAUUCCAGGUGUAGCGGUGAAAUGCGUAGAGAUCUGGAGGAAUACCGAUGGCGAAGGCAGCCAUCUGGCCUAAUACUGACGCUGAGGUACGAAAGCAUGGGGAGCAAACAGGAUUAGAUACCCCUGUAGUCCCUGUCUCUUAUAC
rnacentral:rRNA from 1 species